rnacentral:lncRNA from 1 species
GAGAAGUUGAUGAGAUUUCUAUCUUGCUGUAUACAUCUGGGCUGUUUGAUACUUUAAAAAAAAACCAACUAGUAAAAAACUAGUAUUUAAGGAAUAUUUAAAAAAAAAAAAAAACUUCCUAUAACAGGAAAAAGGUAGCAUCCAAGAGCUGUCAGGUAAGAUCACUGGCAGCUCUUUCAUUAGCUGGUCCCUAGCAUCCAACAUCACGUGGAACUCCCCCUAUUUGGAUUUGAUGUCUUCUUUUGACCUUUGCAGGGAGCAGGGCCAUAUGUGGUGUGGCCACACCCAUGCAGGCCAAAAGUUCAUACAGAUAAAAUAAAAAUAAAUCUUU